ensembl:miRNA Gm26377 predicted gene, 26377
AGACUGGUUAAUGAUAACAGUGCAUCGUAAAACCUUCAGAAGGAAAGAAUGUUUUGUGAACCAUUUUGUGUGUGUGUGUGGCAGUUUUAAGUUAUUGGUUUUCAAAAUCA